UCAUCAUCACGGUUGCUUUGCUCAUUGGUUACAUUUUGUUUCAGUCGUUCCAGCCAUGGAUACAAAACAGACAUUUCGAGUUCAUGGUAGAUAAAUACGCAAAGGAUAAGCUACUGACACUUUUAACAACAAAUGGCAAGCCCAGUAUAGUGAAGAUACAAAGGUUGUUCAACAAAAUUGGCAAGGACAACACUGCAUUAGUAACACCAGCAGAAAUCAGAGUCUUGGUCUUAGGAGUAAAGAUGGAUGACGACGACAUCAGCACAAACCUUGUUUUGGA